rnacentral:lncRNA from 1 species
UCAGCAAUAAAUAGCGAGCGUAGACCAGUGUUAGGCAUACAGCAUUCCGUGUACGGAACGCUACUGUAGGUUGUGGACCCAGCACCCGACACCGAAUACAAUGAAGUACUCGCUCUUCAUGCUUGUAACGCUGGUUAUUGCAUUGGGCUUGCAGAAUGUGAAAGGCUGCGAUAAGAAGAGUCUUCUGAUUGGCAAUACUGGCUGCCUUCUGGGCGCUGUUCCCAUACUACCAGGGCAGACCUUGGAACUCAGGUGCCCCUGUGCGAACGUUUCGUGUCAUGACGGUCUCAAGCGCAUAAUUGUUUCAUGGUGUACACCUUCUGAACAGCUACGAGUCAUUACGAGAGCAGAGUAAUAGCAAAGCGCAGAUAUCUAAGUUGAAGAUGCGGUUGCAUGUUGAGGUAUCCUUGUGUAAUAGAUAGCAGGAAAUG